UGCAGUCGAGCGGUAGAGAGAAGCUUGCUUCUCUUGAGAGCGGCGGACGGGUGAGUAAUGCCUAGGAAUCUGCCUGGUAGUGGGGGAUAACGUUCGGAAACGGACGCUAAUACCGCAUACGUCCUACGGGAGAAAGCAGGGGACCUUCGGGCCUUGCGCUAUCAGAUGAGCCUAGGUCGGAUUAGCUAGUUGGUGGGGUAAUGGCUCACCAAGGCGACGAUCCGUAACUGGUCUGAGAGGAUGAUCAGUCACACUGGAACUGAGACACGGUCCAGACUCCUACGGGAGGCAGCAGUGGGGAAUAUUGGACAAUGGGCGAAAGCCUGAUCCAGCCAUGCCGCGUGUGUGAAGAAGGUCUUCGGAUUGUAAAGCACUUUAAGUUGGGAGGAAGGGCAGUAAAUUAAUACUUUGCUGUUUUGACGUUACCGACAGAAUAAGCACCGGCUAACUCUGUGCCAGCAGCCGCGGUAAUACAGAGGGUGCAAGCGUUAAUCGGAAUUACUGGGCGUAAAGCGCGCGUAGGUGGUUAGUUAAGUUGGAUGUGAAAUCCCCGGGCUCAACCUGGGAACUGCAUUCAAAACUGACUGACUAGAGUAUGGUAGAGGGUGGUGGAAUUUCCUGUGUAGCGGUGAAAUGCGUAGAUAUAGGAAGGGACACCAGUGGCGAAGGCGACCACCUGGACUGAUACUGACACUGA
rnacentral:rRNA from 1 species